rnacentral:tRNA from 1 species
GGGGAUUUAGCUCAGUGGUAGAGCGCUUGCCUAGCAAGCAAGCAGAAGGCCCUGGGUUCGGUCCCCAGCUCCG